rnacentral:lncRNA from 1 species
GGCGGUGGAGUUCUUCUUGCCACCGACGACGGUGUUGUUGUUGUUGUUGUUGGCUGGCCUGCCGACGGACUUGUUGAAGUAGCUCUUGACGGCGUCGUUGUUGGCGUUGGCGUUGUUCUUGUUGAGGUAGUAGUCGGUCACGCUCAUGGUCUUGCCGGCGGCGGCGUUGGCGUUGUUCUUGUUGAGGUAGUAGUCGGUCACGCUGAUGGUCUUGCCGGCGUUGGCGUUGGUGGUGUUCUUGUUGAGGUAGUAGUCGGUCACGCUGAUAGCGGCGGCGUUGUUGGAACCAACACCUGCACCUGCACCGGCGGCGUUGGCGUUGUAGCGGUCGGCGCUGGUGGUUGUGGCGUUGCCGAAGGCGAGCUUGGCGGAUCCGAUGAGGCCCGGGGAGUUGGUAUUGCCGCCGGGGAAGGAGGAGGAGGGAUCCGGUGGCGAGGUGGUGGAGGACCAGAUGGAGUCGGCGAUGGAGAGGUUGGAGAAGUUGUUGUGCAGGCGCAGCUGGUCGCUGAAGUUCCAGAACUCGCGGUCGUAGGAGGCGUCCAUGGCGGAUGGAUGGAUCGGGAGGUCGGCGGUCGGGUCCUCCUCACUACCUCUCCUCCCCAACCAAACCAACUGGUGAAUGGAAGAAGAGGAUGGAUGCG